UUUCCCUGGAGAUGCUUUCGGCGUCCCCUCUCUCCGCGCCGGCGCAGCCAGGCCUCGGAAUCACUAACAGAGGAGGGGGCGGCGCCGACGCCCAGCACCUGCCGCCGGUGGGGGACUCACUUCGGUGGAAGGGAAAACUGAAGUUGUUUCACUGGGCGAGUGCACCGAGGCUGAAGUCUAUAAGCCUGGAGAGACUAUCAGCAGUAAUCUGCAAAUGCUGGAGCUCACAUGGAAACUGAGAAUGCUGUCUGACCAACACCAGGAAAAUGAUACAACUCACAUUAACAAAGACCAAAAGGCUUUCUUUACAGGUAUUUAAUUUAAUGUAAGUACCGCAAACCCUGCUUGAACUUAUAAGGCA
rnacentral:lncRNA from 1 species